UACGUAGGGUGCGAGCGUUAAUCGGAAUUACUGGGCGUAAAGCGUGCGCAGGCGGUUAUGUAAGACAGUUGUGAAAUCCCCCGGGCUCAACCUGGGAACUGCAUCUGUGACUGCAUAGCUAGAGUACGGUCGAGGGGGAUGGAAUUCCGCGUGUAGCAGUGAAAUGCGUAGAUAUGCGGAGGAACACCGAUGGCGAAGGCAAUCCCCUGGACCUGUACUGACGCUCAUGCACGAAAGCGUGGGGAGCAAACAGG
rnacentral:rRNA from 1 species